UGGGGAAUAUUGGACAAUGGAGGAAACUCUGAUCCAGCCAUGCCGCGUGAGUGAUGAAGGCCUUAGGGUUGUAAAGCUCUUUUACCCGGGAAGAUGAUGACGGUACCGGGAGAAUAAGCACCGGCUAACUUCGUGCCAGCAGCCGCGGUAAUACGAAGGGUGCUAGCGUUGUUCGGAAUCACUGGGCGUAAAGCGUGCGCAGGCGGCCUGCCAAGUCAGGGGUGAAAUCCCAGAGCUCAACUCUGGAAUUGCCUUUGAAACUGGUAGGCUUGAGUCUCGGAGGGGAUAGCGGAAUACCUAAUGUAGCGGUGAAAUGCGUAGAUAUUAGGUGGAACACCGGUGGCGAAGGCGGCUAUCUGGACGAGUACUGACGCUCAUGCACGAAAGCGUGGGGAGCAAACAGG
rnacentral:rRNA from 1 species